GGCUCAGUAACACGUGGAUAACCUGCCCUUGGGACCGGCAUAACCCCGGGAAACUGGGGAUAAUUCCGGAUACCGCAUAUAUGCUGGAAUGCUUUAUGCGUGAAAUGGAUUCGUCUGCCCAAGGAUGGGUCUGCGGCCUAUCAGGUAGUAGUGGGUGUAAUGUACCUACUAGCCUACAACGGGUACGGGUUGUGAGAGCAAGAGCCCGGAGAUGGAUUCUGAGACAUGAAUCCAGGCCCUACGGGGCGCAGCAGGCGCGAAAACUUUACAAUGCGGGAAACCGUGAUAAGGGGACACCGAGUGCCAGCAUCAUAUUCUGGCUGUCCAGGUGUGUAAAAUACACCUGUUAGCAAGGGCCGGGCAAGACCGGUGCCAGCCGCCGCGGUAACACCGGCGGCCCGAGUGGUGAUCGUGAUUAUUGGGUCUAAAGGGUCCGUAGCCGGUUUGGUCAGUCCUCCGGGAAAUCUGACAGCUCAACUGUUAGGCUUUCGGGGGAUACUGCCAGACUUGGAACCGGGAGAGGUAAGAGGUACUACAGGGGUAGGAGUGAAAUCUUGUAAUCCCUGUGGGACCACCUGUGGCGAAGGCGUCUUACCAGAACGGGUUCGACGGUGAGGGACGAAAGCUGGGGGCACGAACCGGAUUAGAUACCCGGGUAGUCCCAGCCGUAAACGAUGCUCGCUAGGUGUCAGGCAUGGCGC
rnacentral:rRNA from 1 species